rnacentral:lncRNA from 1 species
GCCAGAAUGUAAAGGAAACAAAUUAAUACUUUAAAUGCGGAAGCAAACAAUAAUUAGGGUUUACAUACCUUACACAGUAAUUAUGAAUACUCAAUAGAGUUACGAGAAUAUCCCUUUUAUAGUGGUUCUUAAAAAGAAAUCAAGUAAAUAACUAAAAAUUGUAAAUAAAUGUUUUAGGAGGUUAACCUUCACUAGCAUUUGAUGGAGUCCGGAAAAAAUCCUACUCACAACCCUCAUGCUGAUCAAAAUCUGAAU